rnacentral:lncRNA from 1 species
UUAUUCGAUCUAUUUUCACCCGCCGUAUUUCCAAGUUGAACAACUCCUUGUCUCUUAACAUCUUCUUCCAACUUAUCGAUCUUAUCCGUUUCAAUUCAGGGUGCCAAAUGUUACGGUGAUGGGCCACCAACAAAUACAUUCUAUAUACUUAUUAUGGUAUAUAGAGGUUUCCACAAAAAGUAAAAUAGAAAAAACGAGAGAGGAAGAAGACAAAUCAAAGAAUCUGGUACGUUGUAAUGGAAGCAAAACAAAAUAACUUUAUUGAAGAAAAUAACUCAUCACCAUAUGCAACCUUCGGCGAGCGCUAAUUAAUUAUGGCGACUCCCGGCUUCAUUAACCAAAUAAUCCCGACCUAUCAAUUUAUAACUAAUUAUAUAGAAUCCUACUCUAAUUAGAUUUCAUCUUAACCAUCAUUUAAAUAAUAACCGAAUAUAUCUUAACCAUAACCGAAUAUAAUAAUGGAUAAUAUCAAAUAAUCUAAUCCUAAUCUAAUUAUCAUUAUCUCUAACACUCUCCCAAUAAUGCUAAUGUCCUUCACACCGAUCUUCUCUCGGCAAAAUAUGAAUUUCUCCAAUGGUAGUGGCUUUGUGAAAAUAUCGGUCAUCUGCUCCUCGGUUGCGUACUGUAUCAACUCGAAUCCUUCUCGUACUUUUUCGAUCAUCAACUGAAUCUGCCCAACCACUAUUAAAACAAUCAAAAUAAAAAUCGUUAGGAUUAGUAUACCACAACCGGUGGUCUCUUGUUCCUUUCAAAUCUCUCAAUAUCCUUUUCGCCUUAUAUAUCCACUUAAAUCCAAUAACUUCUUUAUCUAUAGGCGAUUCAUCAAACUCGUAGAUAUUAUUUUUCCUUAACGCUGCAUUUUCUUUGUUCGUCGCCUUAUACCAAUCAUUAGAUUUUGCUACCUUUUCGCAGUUUUGUGAUUCUCCACAUUGUGAAUACAUGCAUUGUUCGUAUAUUUCACUAAGUGAUCUUACUUUUCUUAGCAUCGUCUCUGGAGAAGUUUAUAGUGAAAUUCGCGGUGAAGCUUAUGGUGUUGUUUCCGUACUUGUCGUACUUUCACCAUUGUUUCUAUUUUCAGUUGCAGUUCCAUUUUCGAAUAUCAGAAGUGGAUUAUCCUGCACUUUUGCGCUCCAAUCCCAAGCUUUUUGUUCAUCAAAUAUGGCAUCACGAUUUAUAAUUAAAGAGUUAGUAGCAGGAUUAUAAAAUCGAUAAGCUUUACUUCUUUCGCUAUAUCCAACAAAAAUACACUUCUGACUAUUAUCAUCCAAUUUUUGCCUAUUUUGUGAUGGGGUAUGAACAAAAGAAACUAAUCCAAAAAUUUUAAAGUGUUUUACCUUCGGUUUCCACCCCGUCCAUACUUCAUAAGGUGUAAUAUUCUCCAGCGCUAAAGUUGGACUUCUAUUGAGAAUGUAUGCUGCAGUAGAUACCGCUUCUGUCCAAAAUUUGUUCGGGAGAUUUUUCGCUUUCAACAUGCUUUUUGCCAUCUUGACUAAACUUCGAUUUUUGCGCUUUGCAACACCAUUCUGCUGAGGUGUGUAACUGGUUGUCAACUGCCUGUGGAUACCAUUAGCCUUACAAAAAUUUUCAAACUUGUUAGAAAUAAAUUCUCCCCCUCGAUCUGUACGGAAGGUCCUAAUAUAAUAACCGGAUUCGUUCUCAACCAAAUUUUUAAAUUUCUGAAAAACAUCAAAAGCAUCGGAUUUAUUUUUGAUAAAAUAAACCCAAGUCAUCCGGCUAUAAUCAUCCACGAAAACUACAAAGUAGUAAUUGUUGCUGAGCGACGGUGUCUGCAUCGGUCCGCAUACAUCUGCAUGUAUCAAUUCUAAUGGUUCUUUGGCUCUUCUUUUGCUCUUUCUCGAAAAAGAGUCCCUGUGAUACUUUCCUAGCACACAACUUUCACAUACAGAACCAUUAUUAUGCACCAAAGGCAAACCAUCAACCAUAUUCUUUUUAUGUAAUAGAUCAAGUCUCUUAAAACUCAAGUGACCAUAUCGAUAGUGCCAUAACCAAUCAUCAUCUAGCACUAUUUUCAUUGCAACAUGAAUAGGAAAAACUUUAUUUUCUGUCAUCGGAACUUCAAAAAGUAAAUUCUUUUUAUCUUUAUCUCCAUAAAUUGUGCACUUAGAAUUUUCAAAAAUAAGCGAAUGGCCUUCUUUCAAAAAUUGACCCACACUAAAAAGAUUGGAAUUCAAUCCUGUAACAUAUAAGACAUUAUUUAUUUUUUGCAUUCCAGAAAUAUUUACCGCAAUUGUACCUCUUCCGUGCACGUCAUGGACAUAGCCGUCACCCAUUGUCACGCGGCCUUUAACCGAUUUGUCUAAAUUAAUAAAGUUUUCUUCUUUUCCUGUCAUGUGACUGCUACAACCACUAUCGACAUACCAAAUAUUAUUAGUAGUUUUUUCUAAUGAAUGACAUGCAAAAAGUACAUUAUCGUUUUCAUUCUUUUCACAAACAAAAUUCGCAUUCUGUUGUUUCAAUCGACAAAAGCGCUCGAUAUGGCCAAAUUUUUUACAAUAAUAACAUUGAAUAUUUUUACGAUUACGGGAUUGAUCGUUACCUCCGUAGGUUCUCUGAUUUUGAUUACAUGAUCUUUCAUCGUUUCUGUUGUUGAAAUCACCUGAUCUACCUCCGCGGCCUCUGCCCUGGCCACGACCACGACCUCUACCAUAGCCACCGUAUGCUGAAGCUUGAUAAUUAGAAGAAUUGGCACCAUCUUUUUCACUGCUUUUCGAUUCACUUUGAAAAGCAUGCUCAGACAAAUUUUCUGUUCUAUCUUUUCGUUCUUCAUGUGCUAAAAGAGAACUAAGAAGUUUGCUAUAAGAUAAUUUAAAUAAAUCUUUUGCCUCUUCUAUAGCAGAAACAACAUCACCAUAUUUUUUCGUUAGACUUCUUAAAAUUUUUUCGACUACUGUUUGAUCAGUAAUUUGUUCACCAUAUGUAUGCAUCAAGAUAACUAAUUCCAUAACNAAGAGAACUAAGAAGUUUGCUAUAAGAUAAUUUAAAUAAAUCUUUUGCCUCUUCUAUAGCAGAAACAACAUCACCAUAUUUUUUCGUUAGACUUCUUAAAAUUUUUUCGACUACUGUUUGAUCAGUAAUUUGUUCACCAUAUGUAUGCAUCAAGAUAACUAAUUCCAUAACUUUAGAAUAAAAGGUAUGAAUAUUUUUAUUUUCUUGCAUAAAUGAAGCUUCAAAUCUUCUUUUUAAAGUUUGAAUCUUAACUCUGAGUACCUUUUCGUUACCUUGGUAUUCCUUCUGUAAUAUAUCUCAUGCUUCCUUCGAUUUUGUAGCGCCGGCAAUGUGGAAAAAUAUCGAAUCGUCAACUGAUUGCUGAAUAAAAAAAAGCGCCUUUGCAUCUUUUUUCAGAUUCUCUCCGGUUGUUUCCUUGCAUCCUUUUUCAACAAAAUCUCAUAAAUCUUAGAAUCGCAGCAACGUCCGCAUCUUCACGCACCAAAAAUCAUAAUUGUCCCCCUUGAAUAUCGGGAAUCCUUGUGCAACUCCAUUAGCGCUGUUAAACGCUAUCAACACCUUCUCCUCUCGAAAUUCAGGCUCUGAUACCACUUGUUACGGUGAUGGGCCACCAACAAAUACGUUCUAUAUACUUAUUAUGGUAUAUACAGGUCCCCACAAAAAGUAAAAUAGAAAAAAUAAGAGAGGUAGAAGACAAAUCAAAGAAUCCGAUACGUUGUCAUGGAAGCAAAACAAAAUAACUUUAUUGAAGAAAAUAACUCAUCACCAUAUGCAACCUUCGGCGAGCGCUAAUUAAUUAUGGCGACUCCCGGCUUCAUUAACCAAAUAAUCCCGAGCUAUCUAUUUAUGACUAAUUAUAUAGAAUCCUACGUACUCUAAUUAGAUUUCAUCUUAACCAUCAUUUAAAUAAUAACCGAAUAUAUCUUAACCAUAACCGAAUAUAAUAAUGAAUAAUAUCAAAUAAUAUAAUCCUAAUCUAAUUAGCAUUAUCUCUAACACCAAAAUC